CCUACGGGUGGCAGCAGUGGGGAAUAUUGGACAAUGGGGGGAACCUUGAUCCAGCCAUGCCGCGUGUGUGAAGAAGGCCCUCGGGUUGUAAAGCACUUUCAGUGAGGAAGAACGCCUGGUGGUUAAUACCCAUCAGGAAAGACAUCACUCACAGAAGAAGCACCGGCUAACUCCGUGCCAGCAGCCGCGGUAAUACGGAGGGUGCGAGCGUUAAUCGGAAUUACUGGGCGUAAAGCGCGCGUAGGUGGCUUGAUAAGCCGGUUGUGAAAGCCCCGGGCUCAACCUGGGAACGGCAUCCGGAACUGUCAAGCUAGAGUGCAGGAGAGGAAGGUAGAAUUCCCGGUGUAGCGGUGAAAUGCGUAGAGAUCGGGAGGAAUACCAGUGGCGAAGGCGGCCUUCUGGACUGACACUGACACUGAGGUGCGAAAGCGUGGGUAGCAAACAGGAUUAGAUACCCCAGUAGUC
rnacentral:rRNA from 1 species